rnacentral:rRNA from 1 species
UGGGGAAUAUUGCACAAUGGGGGGAACCCUGAUGCAGCAACGCCGCGUGAAGGAAGAAGUAAUUCGUUAUGUAAACUUCUAUCGACAGGGAAGAAAGAAAUGACGGUACCUGAAUAAGAAGCCCCGGCUAAUUACGUGCCAGCAGCCGCGGUAAUACGUAAGGGGCAAGCGUUAUCCGGAUUUACUGGGUGUAAAGGGUGAGUAGGCGGCGAUGCAAGUCAUAUGUGAAAUUCCGGGGCUUAACUCCGGAGCUGCAUAAGAAACUGCGUUGCUUGAGUGCAGGAGAGGCAAGCGGAAUUCCUAGUGUAGCGGUGAAAUGCGUAGAUAUUAGGAAGAACACCGGUGGCGAAGGCGGCUUGCUGGACUGUAACUGACGCUGAGUCACGAAAGCGUGGGGAGCGAACAGG